GCUGCGGUAGCUCAGUUGGCAGAGCAAUAGAACAUUCUGUGGCGCAAUUCCCCUUGUGGGCCAAGCAUCACAUACUUCACUCUGGUUAAUCUAGAGGUCGCAGGUUCGAGUCCUGCCCGCAGCG
rnacentral:tRNA from 1 species